UGGGGAAUAUUGCACAAUGGGCGCAAGCCUGAUGCAGCCAUGCCGCGUGUGUGAAGAAGGCCUUCGGGUUGUAAAGCAACUUUCAGCGAGGAGGAAGGUGGUGAGCUUAAUACGUCAUCAAUUGACGUUACUCGCAGAAGAAGCACCGGCUAACUCCGUGCCAGCAGCCGCGGUAAUACGGAGGGUGCAAGCGUUAAUCGGAAUUACUGGGCGUAAAGCGCACGCAGGCGGUUUGUUAAGUCAGAUGUGAAAUCCCCGGGCUCAACCUGGGAACUGCAUUUGAAACUGGCAAGCUAGAGUCUCGUAGAGGGGGGUAGAAUUCCAGGUGUAGCGGUGAAAUGCGUAGAGAUCUGGAGGAAUACCGGUGGCGAAGGCGGCCCCCCUGGACGAAGACUGACGCUCAGGUGCGAAAGCGUGGGGAGCAAACA
rnacentral:rRNA from 1 species